rnacentral:rRNA from 1 species
GACGAACGCUGGCGGCGUGCCUAAUACAUGCAAGUAGGACGCAGUUGCGAACGGGUGAGUAACGCGUAGGUAACUACCUAUUAGAGGGGGAUAACUAUUGGAAACGAUAGCUAAUACCGCAUACUAGUAGAUGGACCUGCGUUGUAUUUGCUAGUAGGUCGGGUAAUGGCCUACCUAGGCAACGAUACAUAGCCGACGGGGGAGGGUGAGCGACCACCCUGGGACUGGGAAUCGGCCCCGACCCCUACGGGAGGCAGCAGUAGUGAAUCUUCGGCAAUGGGGGGAACCCUGACCGAGCAACGGCGCGGGAGUGAAGAAGGUUUUCGGAUCGUGAAGCGCUGUUGUUAAGGAAGCGGUACUUAACCAGAAAGGGACGGCUAACUACGUGCCAGCAGCCGCGGUAAUUC